AGCGAACGUUAGCGGCAGGCCUAACACAUGCAAGUCGCACGAGAAUCCCGGCUUCGGCCGGUAGUAAAGUGGCGGACGGGUGAGUAACACGUGGAUAAUCUGCCCUUCAGCGGGGGAGUAACUGUCCGAAAGGAUAGCUAAUACCGCAUACGUCAGCGAGGCCUUCGGUCUUGCUGGAAGAUGGCCUCUCCAUGGAAGCUAUCACUGAAGGAUGAGUCCGCGCCCAUCAGCUAGUUGGCGGGGUAAUGGCCACCAAGGCAUAGACGGGUAGCUGGUCUGAGAGGAUGAUCAGCCACACU
rnacentral:rRNA from 1 species